CGGACGCGCACCUGCCGGCGUCCCGGGCGCCCCGGACGGCGCGGACGGCGGGCGACGCCCCCGAGCGGCGCGCCCGGCCCCCGGCGAAGCCCGCCCGCCCAGCUCUGGGGGCCCCGGGGCCGGCCUGCGCGGGGCCCCGGGCGCGCGCCAUGGGCCGCUGGUAAUGGACGGCGCGGGGAAGCCUCGGCCCGGCCUCGUCGGCGAUCGUUCGAGGGUCUGAAGUCCCUGGAGGAUGACCUAGCACUUCCCGGCCCCGCCGGCCUUCCCGAGGGCCCCCGUGGACGCGUCGGCCCGCCCCGGAGCUGCGAGGCCGGGCGGCCCCCGAAGUCGGGACGCUGCGCACGCCCGGGCGCCCGGGCUCCGGACCAGGCGCGCCCCCUGAACUCACGUUCAGUACAAUCGUUUCUUUUUCAAGGAGGGUUUUCCUUUCCUUCGCUUUUCUUCGUCUGUUGUUUUUUUGCCGUUUUGUUGACUUUGACUUUGGGAGAAGGGAAUUUGGGGUGGGGGGGACUUCAAGGGAGAGCCGCUCGCCGCGAAGUUGGCAGAGGGGCCGCGGGGCCGCCGGCGGGCGUCGCGGGCCUGGGGUCCAGGAUGGAGGUGGCGGAGCCGCAGCAGCUGGGCGUGUUCACCGAGGGCGAGCUGCUGUCGGUGGGGAUGGACACGUUCAUCCACCGCAUCGACUCCACCGAGGUCAUCUACCAGCCCCGCCGCAAGCGCGCCAAGCUCAUUGGCAAGUACCUGAUGGGGGACCUGCUGGGGGAGGGCUCGUACGGCAAAGUGAAGGAGGUGCUGGACUCGGAGACGCUGUGCAGGAGGGCCGUCAAGAUCCUCAAGAAGAAGAAGCUGCGGCGCAUCCCCAACGGCGAGGCCAACGUGAAGAAGGAAAUCCAGCUGCUGAGGAGGCUGCGGCACAGAAACGUCAUCCAGCUGGUGGACGUGCUGUAUAACGAGGAGAAGCAGAAGAUGUACAUGGUGAUGGAGUAUUGCGUGUGCGGCAUGCAGGAGAUGCUGGACAGCGUGCCCGAGAAGCGCUUCCCCGUGUGCCAGGCCCACGGGUACUUCCGCCAGCUGGUGGACGGCUUGGAGUACCUGCACAGCCAGGGCAUCGUGCACAAGGACAUCAAGCCUGGCAACCUGCUGCUCACCACGGGCGGCACGCUCAAGAUCUCUGACCUGGGCGUGGCCGAGGCCCUGCACCCAUUUGCCGAGGACGACACGUGCCGGACCAGCCAGGGCUCCCCUGCGUUCCAGCCACCUGAGAUCGCCAACGGCCUGGACACCUUCUCCGGCUUCAAGGUGGACAUCUGGUCCGCUGGGGUCACGCUAGCCUUCCCCGCGCCAAGUACCAGUCCCUGCAGGUACAACAUCACGACCGGCCUGUACCCGUUCGAGGGGGACAACAUCUACAAGCUCUUUGAGAACAUCGGGAAGGGGGAUUACACCAUCCCAGGGGACUGUGGGCCCCCACUCUCAGACCUGCUCAAAGGGAUGCUGGAAUACGAGCCGGCCAAGCGCUUUUCCAUACAGCAGAUCCGGCAGCACAGCUGGUUCCGGAAGAAGCACCCGCCGGCCGAGGCGCCGGUGCCCAUCCCCCCGAGCGCGGACUGCAAGGACCGCUGGCGUGGCAUGACGGUGGUGCCCUACCUGGAGGACCUGCACGGCUGUGCCGAUGACCCGGACGACGAGCUCUUCGAUAUCGAGGACGACAUCAUCUACACUCAGGACUUCACGGUGCCCGGUGGCGAGGAGGCGUCUGAGGCAGGGCUUAGAGAGAGAGGCCUGCAGGAGAGCCAGUGCUCAGCCCUUUCUGGAGAGGACGCUGAGGCCAGGGCUGCCGAGGGGCUGUGGGCAGAGCCCAGGCCCUCCUGUAGUGCGGCCCCCCUGCCCCUGCCGCCCCCGCCCGGGGUCUGAGGGAGGCCGGGUCGGGGUCUGUGCGGUCCCGGGGCUGGUCCUGCAGGCCCCGGCAUAAAGGUCUGCCCCGCUGAGCGCGUGCGGUCGUGUUUCUUCUUCCCGGUCUGCCAGCCAGGGCCUAGGUGUCUGUUGUGGAAAGAAGCGUGUGCAGGGCGGCCGGUGCACCCACGCUGCUGGGGGCGCCCUCAGGCCUCUGGGGCCCCCGGCGUCUGGCUGCCGCUGUUCCCCGAGGGGCCCUGGGGUCAGGGGUGGUACCCCUGCCCUGGGAACCGUGGCCACAGUCCAGUCCAGAGUCAGGCCUCCUGGAGCCUCCACCCCCCCCACAGGAUAGGAAUGAGGUGUCUUGCCUCUCGGGCACUGGGGCCCUGGGACGGGUGCCUGGGUGUGACCCUCGCUGGCAGGCCGAGCGCGGACCCUGCUGGGCUCUGACCACACGCCAUCCCUUCAGGCUUGGCGCUGCUCUUCCGGGGUGGGGGAGGGCUCGUCCAAGGGCGGCUCUCUGGGCCUGAGCCACAUCCCUGAGCCGGGAACGUCCCCACACCCGACGUGGGGACCGUCGCGUCCGGGGGUGGGGCAGCUGCGUCUCGCUGACCUGCUUGUGGGCCGUGCUGGGGCUGGAGCUGGCCCGUCGUGUGGGUGCGUUUAGAGGCUCGCAGCUGCCCACCUGGGUCCCUGGUCUGUCCCGGGUCCUGCCGCCCACCCUGUGGGCCGGUGCUGGGCCUCGGGCCAGGUGUUGGUGGGUUGGGGCCCGGGGCCCCAGUAUCUUGAGGGCAGGUGGGGCAGAGCCCAUGCCCGCCAGCCACCCUCCGACCGUGGUCCCUGUGCCAGAGGCUGGGCCCCGGGUGGUCUGUGCAGGGGGUCCGUGCUUGGCCCCUCAGGGGUCCCCUCCCCCAGCAGAGCAGGCACCUGCCACGCCCCCCACCCCCCGUGCGCACUCCUGACCUGAGGUGCUUUCUGUGCGGGUUCCCGGCAAGGUCCAGAGGCUGAGUCAGACACCAGAUGCUGUUGGCGGAGACAGGGCUCCGUGUGCAGAGGAGAUGGGCUCGAGGCAGCCGGGGGCCGUUUCCCAGCGACAGCCAUGGGAGCAGGGGGCGCCACGCGCUGCGUGGGCUGCCCACACCCCGGUCCCCGCCCACGCCUCAGCGGGCGCACGGCGGGGCAGGUGGCCCCUGGGAGCCAGUGCGGGCUGGCAGCCCACGCAGCAGGGGACGGGGCGCGGCCAGGGUGUGUGCCGGCCUCUCUGUGCCGGACGUGGAGGGCCUGGGCGGGCUGCUGUGGCAGAGGUGUCGAGUCCGGACGCCUGAUCCGAGCCUAGCCCCUCCCAGUCCCACGGGGCCCUGCGAGGUCUGGGCUUUGCACAGGACAGGUCCCGGAGGAGGAGGCCGGGCGGAGCGUGCCGAGCCGAGGCCCACCCAAGGCCGUGUGUGUGAAUGGCACCGAGUCAGCCCAGCUGAGCGCCAGGUUGAGGGCGGAGCGCCGGGCCAGUGCCGC